GAUGAACGCGGCGGCGUGCUUAACACAUGCAAGUCGAACGAUGAAGCCCAGCUUGCUGGGUGGAUUAGUGGCGAACGGGUGAGUAACACGUGAGUAACCUGCCCUUGACUCUGGGAUAAGCCUGGGAAACUGGGUCUAAUACUGGAUAUGACUUCUCACCGCAUGGUGGGGGGUGGAAAGAUUUAUUGGUCUUGGAUGGACUCGCGGCCUAUCAGCUUGUUGGUGAGGUAAUGGCUCACCAAGGCGACGACGGGUAGCCGGCCUGAGAGGGUGACCGGCCACACUGGGACUGAGACACGGCCCAGACUCCUACGGGAGGCAGCAGUGGGGAAUAUUGCACAAUGGGCGCAAGCCUGAUGCAGCGACGCCGCGUGAGGGAUGACGGCCUUCGGGUUGUAAACCUCUUUCAGUAGGGAAGAAGCGAAAGUGACGUACCUGCAGA
rnacentral:rRNA from 1 species